GGGUUAUCUCCUUCCUUCUUGUUGGUUCAACUAUUGGCAUGCUUGUUUUUCCUGUGAUCACUUCAGAAGCGAAAACUCUUCCACUUCGAGUUACACCACUAGCUCCAGCAAUGUUGGCCAUGUUCGGUUCUUUCAAGAUCACUAGUUUAUCACACACAUAAACUACGGGGUCAUAGUUCCAAGGAACUGCUUUGGUACUAUCAAAUGAUA
rnacentral:lncRNA from 1 species